GCUUUGCAGAUCUAAGGCUGGAGAGGGAAAGGGACUUGCUAGAGGUGAUACAGCUGGUAUGACCAAGUGUCUCAAUAUAUGAAAUACAAUUGUAAUUUGACAAUGUAGAACCCCUGCUCCGUGCCCAGGCCUGUGCUGGUGACACAGAGAGGGAUGAGAAUGGUCCCUGCUGGCAAUGGAAAGGGCUCCAGAAGUGUUUACUGGGGAGACCUCAGUUCCAUCCCCCUCCCCCCGCCCCCAAACAUCUCUCAGUCCUACUCUGGGCAGAGAAUAGUGGCAAGGGGGCAGAAUGAAGGUUACAAAGGUGACUUGAGGCAGAUUUAAUGCAUUCAUCCACCAGGUAGUUAUUAAGCACCUACUAAGUACUGGGUAAGCAAAGUAAACCUGACUGGUCUGUGUGCCUUCAUGGAGCAUGUGCUCUGUAGGGAAAAUGGGGAAAGGAGGAGUGAGAAGUGCUCAAGGGACACAGUAUGGAGAGGGAGCAGCCACCUAACCCAGGCAAUCAAGGAAGGCUUCCUGAUGGAAGCAGCCUUGGUACCAAGGUGGGAGGAUAAUUAGAAAUUGGGCAUAUGGAGAGGGGGAGGGAAGAGCAUUGCAAUAUAAGAACAGCUCAUGCCUAAGCCCAGAAGUGUGAGAUUAUGGUAGGUUUGAAGGACUGAAGAACAUUAUGUACACCUGCAACAGUGAGGGCAAAGGAGGAAUGAAGAACGGUGGGGAACAGGUGAGGAACAGGACAUGAGAGCCAGGUCUGGAAGGGGAACAAGUUAAGGACUCGGGGCUUAGCCAGAGGGCAGACCAGCUAACAACUCAGCACACCACAAGAAACAGAGUGAAAUCAGUUCUGUUUGUACCAGAGGACAGGACGGACGCCAUGCGGGUAAGAAAGGAACACCAAAGAAGGCUUCAUGGUGGAGGAGGUGGUUAACGUGGGCCUGGUUGAUAGAUUUUCUGUUCAAAGGAAAAGGAGAGAGAGAGAAAGAGGAACAGUCUGGGAAGUGCCAUGCAUGGCACAGAACCUCAUCCAGGCUCUGUUAUAGACCCUCUUGAAAGGUUAGGGAGAUGCCCAUGAGACUAAGGCUAAUGCAGCAUCAUUUCUAGGGCCUGGGGUGGGAUGAAGUGGCCCUCUUUGAGCCCCAUGGGAACAGAAGACACAUCCCUGGUCCUUAACAGGCUGCCAUUCAUUGGUGUCAGCAACCGGAAAACAGAAUUGUUUAAUUCUUCAACGAUAUGCAUGAAGCAACUGUAUGUCAGGUUCUGUGAUGGGCACUAGAAAUCCACUGGAGAACAAAAGCAGACAUGUUGCUCACUCUCAUGAAGACUAAUUCUGGGAGGGAAAAUGCUAAUUUUUUUUUUAAAACCCAAAGAAAUAAAUAAAAAAGACCCAGGCAUAGGUACGUGGCACUAUGAGAAGGCAGCAGAGGAUUGCUCUACUCUGGACAGCCUGGGCAGGAAUCAUUAACAAUGUGACAAGUGAGCCUGGCUGUGAAAGAUGAGAAGUAGAUAACAAGGUAGAGAUGGGAGGGAAGAUUGAUCCAGGUAGAGGGACCAGUGCAUGCAAACCCUGCUCUGGGGGAAAGUCAGGUGACUGACAUGGAGAAUGAGGGGAAGCUUGGUUCAAAAUAAAGUUGAUCAGCAGUUUUUUAGACCACCAUACCAACUGGGGAUUGUAUCCUAGAAACAACAGAAGGUGUUGAAGUAUCUAGAAUGGGCAAAAUUGGGAGCAGAACACUCCAGGUGCUCUGGGUACACAGAGAACCAGGGAAGAAACAGAUUCUUCAUCUACUGACAUUGCUCUUUACUCACCUCACCUCAUUUAACUGUGACCAUAACUCUGCAAGGUUCUCAUCUCCAUUAUCGUAAGGAGACACCUGAGGCUCAGAGAAGCCAUUCAUGCGAUGAAUAUCUACGAGGCAUUUACAGGGAGGAAGGCACAUAUCUGUGGAGGUGAUGACUGGGCUGAUGUGAUUCUGUGAACCACUUGAGGGCAGAGGCUUUGGCUUUAUCUUCAUACUUCCGACACCUAGCAGAGUGCCUGCUGCCUGGCAUGGGAGAGCCUCAGUUUGGCAACUGACUUCCAGGGGACAUUGUGAAAGCUGAUUGACUCUUGGUCACGUGUUGCAGUGAUGAGCCGGUAGCAUCCUUGACUCUGAGCACCUCCCUCCCCCUACUGGGAGGUUACCCCACUUGUUCUUCACCAUCAUGGCCACCACUGGACCCUAGUGUCUCAUUUCACACUACAGGCUCCCCCUGUAAAAUAAAAUUGAUAAGAGGUUUUCUCACUGGUCAGAUGCUCCUGCCUCCCAUCCAUUACUCAGUCUACUCGCCUGGCUUCUGAUCUCCUACCU